rnacentral:hammerhead_ribozyme from 1 species
ACACUGCUGAGGAGUCCCAUACCAGGACGAAACGGCCGUUCAGUGC